rnacentral:rRNA from 1 species
ACCAGACGAUGCGGUUACCGCGGCUGCUGGCACGGAGUUAGCCGGUGCUUCUUCUGUGAGUGAUGUCCUUCCUGCCGGCUAUUAACCCGCAGGCCUUCUUCCUCACUGAAAGUGCUUUACAACCCGAAGGCCUUCUUCACACACGCGGCAUGGCUGGAUCAGGGUUGCCCCCAUUGUCCAAUAUUCCCCACUGCUGCCUCCGUAGGAGUCUGGGCCGUGUCUCAGUCCCAGUGUGGCUGAUCAUCCUCUCAGACCAGCUACGGAUCGUCGCCUUGGUGAGCCGUUACCUCACCAACCAGCUAAUCCGACAUAGGCUCAUCCGAUAGCGCGAGGCCCGAAGGUCCCCCGCUUUCCCCCGGUAGGGCGUAUGCGGUAUUAGCCGUGGGUUUCCCCAGGUUACUCCCCACUACCGGGCAGAUUCCUAUGCAUUACUCACCCGUCCGCCGCUCGCCACCAGGGAGCAAGCUCCCCGUGCUGCCGCUCGACUUGCAUGUGUUAGGCCUGCCGCCAGCGUUCAAU